rnacentral:rRNA from 1 species
GACGAACGCUGGCGGCGUGCUUAACACAUGCAAGUCGAACGGAAAGGCCCUGCUUUUGUGGGGUGCUCGAGUGGCGAACGGGUGAGUAACACGUGAGUAACCUGCCCUUGACUUUGGGAUAACUUCAGGAAACUGGGGCUAAUACCGGAUAGGAGCUCCUGCUGCAUGGUGGGGGUUGGAAAGUUUCGGCGGUUGGGGAUGGACUCGCGGCUUAUCAGCUUGUUGGUGGGGUAGUGGCUUACCAAGGCUUUGACGGGUAGCCGGCCUGAGAGGGUGACCGGCCACAUUGGGACUGAGAUACGGCCCAGACUCCUACGGGAGGCAGCAGUGGGGAAUAGUGCACAAUGGGCGGGAGGCUGAUGCAGCAACGCCGCGUGCGGGAUGACGGCCUUCGGGUUGUAAACCGCUUGCGCCUGUGACGAAGCGUGAGGGACGGGAAUGGGUAAAGAAGCACCGGCUAACUACGUG